UCGAGGAUCUUCGGCAAUGGGCGCAAGCCUGACCGAGCGACGCCGCGUGUGCGAUGAAGGCCUUCGGGUUGUAAAGCACUGUCGAGGGGGAGGAAAGCCGGGUCAAACCGGCCUGACCUAUCCCUGGAGGAAGCACGGGCUAAGUUCGUGCCAGCAGCCGCGGUAAGACGAACCGUGCGAACGUUGUUCGGAAUCACUGGGCUUAAAGGGCGCGUAGGCGGACCCUCAAGUCCGGGGUGAAAUCUUUCGGCCCAACCGGAAAAGUGCCUCGGAUACUGAGGGCCUUGAGGGAGGCAGGGGCGGAUGGAACUUCCGGUGGAGCGGUGAAAUGCGUUGAUAUCGGAAGGAACGCCGGUGGCGAAAGCGAUCCGCUGGACCUCUUCUGACGCUGAGGCGCGAAAGCCAGGGGAGCAAACGGGAUUAGAUACCCCCGUAGUCC
rnacentral:rRNA from 1 species